CGAAAACGUAUAGAGAGAAAAAAGAAAACCCUCUCUUAUCAACAACAGAACUUAAGUGCUUCCGCUCGAUUCAAGUCGAGAACACUACAGCCAUUUCUGGUAUGUUCUCUUCUUGACUGAAUAUUAUAUUAUUAGAUUGUGAAAAUCAUUUAGUUCCAAUUAACUUGGCUGAUAAAAGCAUUCUCCAACUGCUGAAUCUCUAAUUUAUUUUCCCAUAACGUAAUUAACUAUAAAUUUUUUAUGACCCAAAACAUCAAGUUUGUCCUAACAAAAUCCUUCCGGUCGGGAAAAAAACAACUAUAUCCACCAACCAUAAUUAAGAUAUCAAAUGCAACAGAAAUAACCCAAAAAUUCAAAACAAAAUUGAAAUAUUAAGAUUCUCAUGAUAACAUAAAUUCAAUUUUGUCUGUAUAAUCAUAACAUCAAAAUUACGACAGUCUCCAUUGACAUAUAACCUUCCAUAUCAUUCCAGAUCCAUAAGAAAACCAAAAACCGAGAAAAUAAAUUACAGAAAAAAAAUUAUAAAGGGGCACAAAAAAAAAAAAAAAGAAAAUUCAACGAAAAAUAAAAGAUUUAGAAAUCAAAUUAAUGAUAAAACCAAUUUUAGGGAAAAGGGAAAUGAGGGAUUAGUGCACAAUUGCACCCUAAUCGAUAAGUAAAAGUUUGGAUAAUCAAUCAAUUGAGCUACUAAAAUUUUUGAGAUAAAAACAAUCACAAUUGAAAAACAAAAUGGUUAGAGGAAGGGGAAACGGGGGAUUAUUGGACAAUCGAACGCUCACCAAUAAGAUAAAAAAGUUAAAUAACCAAAUCAAUUAAGCUACUAAAAUUUCUGAGAUAAAAAAGAGAAAAGUUACCGGUGUCGCCGAUGAUGAUAUACUUGAAAAGAUAAGCGUAAGACAUGAUGUUGAUGAGAGAUCUGAAGAGCGAAUACGUAAAUUAGCUCGUCAAUAUGAUAUAUGAUUAUUUAUAUAUACAUAUAUAAAAAAAAAAAAAAAAAUUAANNNNNNNNNNNNNNNNNNNNNNNNNNNNNNNNNNNNNNNNNNNNNNNNNNNNNNNNNNNNNNNNNNNNNNNNNNNNNNNNNNNNNNNNNNNNNNNNNNNNNNNNNNNNNNNNNNNNNNNNNNNNNNNNNNNNNNNNNNNNNNNNNNNNNNNNNNNNNNNNNNNNNNNNNNNNNNNNNNNNNNNNNNNNNNNNNNNNNNNNNNNNNNNNNNNNNNNNNNNNNNNNNNNNNNNNNNNNNNNNNNNNNNNNNNNNNNNNNNNNNNNNNNNNNNNNNNNNNNNNNNNNNNNNNNNNNNNNNNNNNNNNNNNNNNNAUUUUAUUUAUGAUUAUUUAUAUAUUCAUAUAUAAAAAAAAAAAAAAAAAAUUAUGAUGCAAUCACACCAAAUGAUUAAUUAUAUAUAAUGAAACAUUUUUGGUUGUUGUUGUGUGUAUAUAGGUUGGCUCUGUAAGAUUUUUAAAAACCUCUGUUCUUUUUUUCUCCCGUUGGGAGACGUCACCAGAAAUAAUAAAGGAAGAAGUUUUUUUUUUUUUUUUUUUUGUCAGUUUAACAAAUGACAAUAAGGCUGUUUGGUUGCGAAAAUAAUAAGUAUUUUUUUAGAGUUGAAAUUGAUGUUGUAUUUGAUCACUGAAGUUAUUUAUGAAAUUUUAUGAGAAAAAUAAAAGUUGAAAAAAGUGAAAAAUAAAUUUUAUUUAUUUUUAUUUUUUUAAAAAUAAUUUUUAUUAUCAAACACUACUAUUUUCACUUUUUUCAUUAAAGUAAAAUAAAUUCUCAAAAAAAAAAAAAAGAAGUGAAAAAACUCUCAUGGUCAAACGGCUACUAAGAAGUUAAGAGUGUGUUUGGUAUGCAUAAAAAUCUUUUCUAGAAAUAAAUAUUUUUCAAAAAAUGUUUUCUUAUUUUUUUCAUGUUUGAUUUGAUAAAAUUUUUGAAAAAUAUAUUUUUUGGACAAAAUAAAUCUUUUAAAACUAGGAAGAUCACUUUUAUAAUGGAAGUAAGAAAAGAUAAGUUCAACAAUUGUGUUAUAAAUGAUAAUGAAUGUCUAUCUUUUGGAGGAAGUUAGAGUUUUUCCCCCUGUAAAUAGAGGGUCUCUCUUUAUUGUAAUUUAUUUUUCAGUAUGAUCCCUUUCACGAUUUCAUUUGUCGGAUCGUAAAGACACGUGCUCUAAUUCACCUAGAUAGGAGAACCUCUUACCACCCUUUAAGAAAUUUAGGGAAAGUCUUUAUUAAAUAAUACAUAAGUAAGAUUUUAUUACAACAAAAUUACAAUAAUUGAAUUCAACAAAUACAAAAUAACCCAAGGACCUAGUCUAAACAUGUACAAGAACUUCUAAGUAAAAAAGUAAGACUGGACAAAAAUUUCACCAUGAAUAAAAGGAGUAGAAGCUGUGAAAAAAUCACCAUCCACGAUGAUCAUGAAAUCAACACUGAUUCCUAUAAAAAAAUAUACCAUACUGAUAAGCCUCAUCGGUCGCCCCGAAUAGGAUUACAUAAAAAUAACAUAAACAUUCAGAAGAGGACAUGGAUCUUAACAUUCAAAUUACUGAGCUUCGCCAUCACCCCAUUUCCCCAUUAUUGAAACCUAAUAAUUCCUUAACCCUAUCUCUCUAUUCUCAAAUCGAUUCAGUUACUUCUUGCUAAACCACCUGGUUAUGAACCUCGAGAUACUGCUCUUACCCUUAUGACUUCACUACCCUGAUUCACUAAUCCUAACCUUACAUCAAGGACUACUAUGAAUCAUAAAGAAACAAUUGCAUUUAGGUGAGCUUAACACAUGUCAAAACCUUAAUAAUCAGACCCAACAUUCGUAGGUAUAACCCACCCCGUCAACGAGACCUCAAGUCAUUAACCUAGACUUAGUCGAUAAUGUAUAACUUUAAUGCAAGAAGUACACUUAAAGCACCUUUAGUAUCCUUAACAAUGAGUCAAAAAAUAUCAACAAAUAUGUCAAAGUCAAGUGAAGUCAAGCCAAAUAAAGUCAAGUCAAUCACCAAAGUACAAUAAUACACACACACACAUAUAUAUAUAUAUAAUAUAUAUAUAUAUAUAUAUAUAUAAUAUAUAUAUAUAUAUAUAUUCAAGCGUGCACACACACAUACAUACAUACACGUCACGGGUCCUACAAUCGUCCACUAGUCAUGACCUGCAGGGAAUACCUCCUAUCCAUGUACUAAAUCACAGAUACAAGUGUCUGUCAAUCUUAUUCUAUCAACCUUAUGACAACAACCAACACUUGUAAUAUUCACAAGUUUUACAUAUGAAUUCAGCCCAAUGUGAUCACACCUAACAACAUGCAUUAACAAACAAUACUAAAAAAUAGUUAACAUGCACAUAUAACACAAGUUGGACUAGACUAUGUAUUCAUCACGUUCACUCCGUCUAGGGUCCUAAACAUGUCACCUAAAUCAACCCUCCUUUCUAACAUAUACAAUUCGUUACCACCCUAGAUUCUUCGGGAUUUAUAAACACCACAUAUUAUCAUUACUUUCUUUAAGGCUCUAGACUAAUGACCGAUAUUUCUCCCUUUCAACUACCCCAAUGAGAGUCUACAACAGUGUACCACCUAAUUUAUAGGGUCAACUAUAACAUAACAUGAUACAAAUAUAAUACAACCACCUUUUCAAUGUUACCCCAAUUUUUAAUCGAUUUCAUCCAAACACCGUAUUUGAAGGCCUAAUCAUGAAAUUUCUCGUUCAUCUAUGUUAGGUUCAUGCUUUCUAACCCGCGUAUGCAAUUCUCAGUUAAUCUUUGCUUACCAGGAUGUCUAGUAGCUGGUAUGAAUGCGUGAAAGGAAAAUUUGGCCCUGUGGAAGAAAAUUUGAACGUGAAUUCCUAAGAUUUUUAUGGGUCUUACUUCAUUCGAGUCUAAUCCCUCCCUUUUCCAUGGUUCUAUUGCUCAGAGGCAAUCCUAGAAGGAUUUUUGGAGACUUCCCGCUACAGCAAAAUGAUGUUAGCCUGAUCAUAAUAUUUUUUAAACUCCAAAAAAAUAUCUUGCAUUGUUUGACACAAGUUUUCAAUUGUAAUUUUGAUACUCUUUGAUCCCGUACUAAUAUCGAGGUGCUCUCUAGUAACGACAGAUUUGGUCAUUACAAUUCCUAAUCCCUCAAUUGAAUCAUAUAUCUCCUCUCUUUUCUCUAUUUUUCUUGUUCUAAUUUUUUAUUUCAUAACACGUUGUCGACAAUAAACUCUACCAUAUUGGGUAAAUGCUUUAAAAUGUCAAAGGAAAAUGGUUUGAAACACCCACUUACAUAAAGUAAAAUUGCUAAUUCCUUCGAUGUUUUCUAACAUUGAGGAGGAAGCACCAGGUGUGUAUAUAUAUAUGUGUGUGCGCGCGCGUGUGUGUGUUUGAGUUUGUAAUUAUGUCUUGACAUUUAGUUUGUGGUCAGCAGGUAAAGUAAUAUGAUUUUGAAAAAAGAUCUUGUCUCUGCAAAAUUUGAUUUCUUUUUUCCUAAAGGUUAAAUUAUCUAAAUUUUGUAGGAAAAUUAUUGAUUCUUGAUUUUUAAGUUCUCACGGCAGGGAUGGUACUUGAUAAUGGGUUGAACUUGAAAUUUGGGGUAUAAAGUAGCAUUGGUAGUUGAAGCCACAGGAAAAAAUUAGUGUGGAUUUCGGUAGUAAUAUUAUUAAUUAAAAUAUUGCUUCUAAUCAUGAAUACUCUUUGAGUUUAUAUAUUAGAUCUACAUAUGAAAAUUGCAACUAAUAUGAUGGUUAGUGUCAGACCGACACUCGAUACGUUAUAAUUUUCAAUUGUUAACUGAUCAUAUAAUAAUAUCUGUAUGGCUUGAAUUGACGAGUAUUAGUGCACUUUGAACUAUAAGUUGAUUGAUGGUAAGACGGUAGAUUCAAGUUCUAUAAUAUUAAAAGGAUAAGAUAUUGGGUUAGCGUCUGGAUGCACUAUGAUGAUAAUGUUGGGUACAAAUCCCAUCGAUUUAUGGCGUAAUACACCCUUAUAUGUAUAAGAUGCUGAGUUUGAAUCUCAAUGCACCAUAUUGAUAAUAUAAUGAUGACUAAGAAGAGUCAUGAAAUUGUCCUAUUGAAUAUGUUCCAUCAUUUGAAGCGAAUAUGGUAGUAAUCUACAAUAUGUCUGAAAGAAAAUAAAUGAUUGAAUAUAUGAAUAUGAUAAUGGAGGGACAAAAUAUUAGUAUUUUCUCAUGCUUAUUGUGUUUAUAAUUAAAGAUGUAUUAGAGAAAAUUCUCUAUAUCAUAUAUAAUUAGAGAAAAAUUCUCUAUAUCAUAUAUAUGCCUCAAUUUGCUCUUGAAGUGAUAAUAUUCUGAAAGAGGUUUUAAUUAAGCUAUCAUAAUUUGAUAGGCUUGGCACAAUUAUAUUCUAUUCCUGGUGAAUGAGAAUUUUGAUUAUUAUAAAUACUGAUCUAUUUUCUGGGGUGAAUAUGAAUAUACUUAGCAAAACUUAUUAAUUCAAACAUGUUCUUGAUUGUGAAGAUAUCACAACCCACCUUCAGAAAGGAAAGAACAAAUUAAGAAGAAAUAUUUUAAAAUAUACUCUCAAAGUAGUAAAUCUGAAAUUUACGGUUGAAUAGUGAAUACUAUGAAAUUUACUCCCAAAGUAGUAAGGUUGUGAAAUAGUAAAAUCUUGUAGUAAAUAAAAAAUUUACUAAAGAAAAAAGGUGCAUACCAUGAUAUAACUUGGAAUUUACUAGUACAAGUUUUAUUUAUUGGCUUGAAUGAUUUUGACAUUCCGAAGAUAUCCAUAUUGAGUAUUAGCUACUGAAGGACUUGAAGAUUCUUCAGAAUUGUUGUUCGUUCUCAUGAUAAGUUGAUUAGAUCAAUUAAUCUUGGAAUUGAAUCCACUAAAUUCUGAAAAGUAUAAAAGGUGAAUAAAGACUCGUUCACCUGUCAUGUGAUCUAUUAAGAUACAUCGAUAUAAGAUGAUCACAUUGUAUUUAUUAUCAACCUAACUCUCCAACAACUAAUUUUUUCUAAAGAUAACUCUGAAUUGAUUGAGUUAGCAAGAUGUACCGCUCCAAUUACAAUACAUAUCAUUCACUAGACUUAAGUAAAUAACAUUUCAUGAAACUUCAUGAGAGGCUUAGACAUCUAAGAACAAUAAUAAGAAGUGAUGAGUUCUUAAUAAGUUAUGUCUUAUUAUGAAUCGAUAUAAAUGAUAUUCCAUCAAUAAUAUCUUUGCUACAAUAUAAUGUAAUAUUAUAAAAGAUCAUGAGGAUCUGAAUCUAUGUCUAUUUAAUCAUAUUGAUGUAGAAAUAUUUAUAAAGUGACAUGAAAGGAUACAUCUUGAUAAGCAGAAAACUUAUUUAAUUUGCAGUCCUGACACUAGAAGAUGUCAUGUAUGAAAUGCUGAAUAUUGUUAGUUGACAAAAUUUAUAUAAAAAAUUCUUAAAAAAUCAAAAUGUUUGAAGCAUAUAAGAGUUUCUGGGAAACUUAUUUAUAAUCCUUUUAUAUUGCAUAAAUUGAUAAGUUGAAUAUCAUUGGAAUUCUUGGAGAGUUUUUUCAAAGUUACAAAUUAUCGGCUGAAAUGAGAAACUUGCCAAAUUGGAUUGGUCCUUAAGCACAAUAGCUUGUGCAAUUGAUGUAUUCAUACAUCUCCAAUAACUAUAGUUUACUCUUAUAUAAAGAUACUGAAAUAAUAUCACUUGCAUAUGGCAAAUGAAAGGCCUCACAUGAAUGUUUUUAUCCUAGCAAAUAGUGUUAAGCUUUUGAAUAUAUAGGAUAUUUAGUAGCCGUUUGGCCAUGAAAAUUACUUUUUUUCCAGAGUUGGAGUUGAAGUUGAAGAUGAAGUUGGAGUUGGAGUUGUGUUUAGCUAUGUCUUUUUAAUUUUUUUUUAGACUUUUCAAUUUUUUUUAAAAAUAUGAUUUUAUAUCCUCAACUUUCAAAAAUUAUCAAAAUCACCCAACUACUAAUUUACCUACUAACAUACAACCAAAUAUUGAGAAAAUAAUUUAUGUGUCUUCAAUUGAUAAAAUAAUGAACAACAAACUAAUUAUUAUGAUUGUUAUUCUUCUAAAAUUUGAAUAAAAAUAUCACAAGCACGGGCUAAAUAAGUUAUCUAACCAUAAUCGAUUGAAUAGAGAAAAAAUAUAUUUUAAUAAAUAUGAUUGAUAGAUAUAAAUAUAUUUAUAUUCUUAAAUUCGUUGAUGAAAAUUCUUAAUUAUUUUCACUUGAAUUAAUUAUUUUAUUGAAUUUGGUCUUUUUUUUUGUUAAGAAAUUACGAAAUUUAGUUAAUAAGAGGGGUUUGUGUAAAAAUUUAAAGAUUGAAGUUAGAUGUAAUAAUAAUGAAAGUUGGAAUUGGAAGUGGAAAAAGGGAAAACAACAAAAAGUUAUUUUCACCUUUCGAAAUUUAAUUCCGGAAUUGUUUUCCAAAUUUUCAUGGCCAAAGACCAUAAUUUCCAACUCCCUAAAAAUUUUUCGAAAAAAAAGGAAAAAUAUCCAUGGCCAAACGGGCCCUUAUAUUAUUGACAUAAGGGUUUGAUACAAAUCUAUUACCUAUUGUAAAAAGGAUUACUAUCAUGCCAAGUUAUUUUACAUGAAAUUCAAAUUAUGUCGAGUUAAUAGUUAUUCAUGAGGCAAGUCGAGAAUCAUGCAUGACCCAACUAAAGGAGAGAUUUAUUAAAAGAGAUAGAAUGGAGAACAUUUUGCCAAAAACUUUUCUAUGCAUAUAAGAAUAUAAGAAUGGUGACAUUAAUACGCAGCAGAUUCAUUCGACUAAUAAUAUGAAUGAUUAUUCACCAAGUCUCUACCAACUACAACUUGAGAAGAAGGUGCAAAAGAUUCGAAUGCAAAGAUUCAAGAUUUUGAAUUGACAUUCUUAUCAGGGAGAGCUUAUAUGCACUGUACUUUUUUUCUCUUUCAAGGUGUUGUCCAACAGGAUUUUCCUUAUAAAGUUUCUAAUGGGGUAGCCAAAAUGCAUAUUAUUAGAUGUGUAUACUCUUUUUCCUUCAUUGGAUUCUUUUUCAAUGAAGAUUUUCUAGUAAGGUGUUAACGAGACAUAUUAUCUAUAGGACCUCAUAUUUCUUGUAGAGAAUUCCUAAUUGUUCCAGAGCAACUAAAAAAAGAUUCUUUAACCAGAAAGAAUUCCGUUAAGAAACAAGUAAGAUUCUCUUAGCUCAGUCGGAAGGAUCUCAUAAUUUAAUUAUCCAUGAUUGUUUAUGUCUCUACCAUGACCACUUGAUGAAAUCUAGAAGAAAGUGGGGCAAUUAAACAUUUAAGGGGGAGUAUUAUAAGUGAUAAUAAAUGUCUAGCAAGAUAUAUUGAUUAUCUAUCAAGAUAUAUUGAGUAUCUAUCAUGAUAUAGUGAGUAUUUAUCAAGAUAAAAUAAAUGUCUAUUUUUUGAAUAAAAGUUAGGAGGUUUUUUCCCUAUAAAUAUGUCACAACCAAAACUAACGGACCGUACGGGCACCUGCACUAUCCUAAGUAGCUAGGAGAAUCAUUAUUAUCCAACUAAAAAUAUGUGAAAAACUUCUAUUUUUAAGGAAAUAUUGAAAUAAAUAUAACAAAGUAAAUUAAAUAUCAAUAAAUAAACUUUUUGUCAUGACCCGAGGCUACCCCCUUGUCGCGGCAACGGUGCUUAUGGUCACAAGUGACCACAGACUAACCUAUGAGAUGGUACCUACUGUGAGCACUGAAUACACUGGCAAUAAAACAUGUAUGCAAAAGAUAAACUAAUAAGGACAAAAUCAAUCUAAAUACUGAAAGCGUGAUUCAAUCACAAGUCUGUGAAUAUCUGAUAACAAUACUGAAAACUUAACUGAUAAUACUAAUAAACUGACUAGCUGUCUAACUGACUGUCUGAAUAUCUGAAAGCCUCUAAACUGACUGAGGAGUUGAUGGAAAAGCCCCAACUAACUCUAACCGACUAACUAAAAAAAAUGCAAAAACAACUGAAUAAACAAAAUAGGUCCUCGAUAUAUGGGGACUCACCACUACUGCUGCUGCCGAAAUGCUAGACUGUCUAAGUACGGUCAGGAAACUGAGCGUUCGAACCUAUGAUAUAACACAUCAUAGCGCAAAGAUGGGUGACCCUUGAGAGGAAGCCAAGCCUAACUGAUGGGUGACUCCACAUAUCCUAUGCUGGCUACGUAGUUUUGGAAUACAGGGACUGCUACUAACGACUCUGCCUAACUGAUGGGGAAGCUGCUAUCCCUAUAUUCGCUCGGUGCUCAAUCCUACUCCUAACUGAACUGACACUGAUUACUGGACUGAACUAAGUUAACUGAACAAACAAUUGUUUAUAAUAACUGAAUGAAUGACAAUGCUCAUGGUUUAUCUGAAAUCAUUCUGAAGAUACUAAAAUUAUGUAAACAAUUAGGUAUCGGGUGUUCAUAACCCACCAACACUGAAUCAAAAUAAUAAUGAUGACAUAUAAAGCUUUAAAAAUAACAUAGUAGGGGAUCAUUGCUCAAAAUCCAAUAUUUAUACAUAUCAUCAAACACAUGAGAGUCAUGAAUUUAAACAUUGUAAUGGGUAAAACAUGCAAGAAUAACUUGACCACAAUACUAAAACCAUGAAUUAGGAAUUUCAAUAUGAAGAUUUCAACACUCAAAACAUGUAAUGGUGCUUCUCAUCGAAAACACUUGUAAACUUAACUCAAAAUCAAAAUCAAUAAUAGUUUCAUGGAGAUAAUUCAACUUGAACAUAUAAAAUUCAUAAUUUAAAAAUAUAAAGGGAUUCUUGGACUCCAUGGGUGAAAAAGGCCCAUGGAUGAACAUUACACAUACCUUAAACCCUUAAUUUUGAAAGAGAAACACCAAUUUUGAUAUUUCUUGAAUGAUCUUGGAUUGGGGAACUUGAAUUCUUGGUUUUCUUGGAGAGAAAGUAAUGGAAUUCGAUGAUCUUGGGGGAGGAGAAGGUUUGUUUUUGAGAGAAAAUUGGAGAAGAUGGGCAAAUAAUGCCCUAAAUGGUAUUAUAAUUCGUGAUUUGACGAAUUGGGUUGAGGGGAAAAGACAUAAUUGCCCCUCAGGAAAUUAAAUUCAUAACUAGAAUGCGGUUUAUAAGGUCACCAUGAUGUGAUGAGAGUGCCAUCUCCAUUAUCACCACAACGCGAUGCUAUCGCGAUGAGUUGCUGGAAUCGUGAUCCAAACAUGACUCAAUUCUUAUCCAAAAAAUUCAAAAAUUCCCCGAGACAUGCUCCUUACACUCCUGAACAUGAAUUAACUCAAAAACCAACAUCUCGGGGUUAGGAAGACCAAUUUAAAAAUCCUCAAAGUUAAGAGGAUUUAAAAUAACUAAGUCCCCAAUACUUAGUGAAAUUUACAAGUUUUAAGCCUCUUAUGCAUAUAACUAGGACCUGAACUGAGCUAAGAAUACUACGGGGUAUUACAAUAUCUCCUCCUUGGGAACAUUCGUCCUUGAAUGAGACUGAUUAGGAUGAGAGUUCUAAACUAAAACAACUGAGGUCACAUACUGAAUAUGCAUAACUGAAAAAAUGAUUACAUGUCUGAGUCUGAAAUAUGAUACAUGAGCUAAACUGUUUUCGUGAAUGUAUGCAAUGAUAUGAGAAUAAUUAUAUAGUUGGAACUGAGAAUGGAAAAGAAAUAAUCUAAGGAAAACUAUUACCUUAAGCUGCGUUUGAGUUUGCAGAGAAAAGAUGAGGGCACUUGGUAUGCGUAUCUGCUUCUGCUUCCCAAGUGGCUCCCUCAGCGGACUGAUUCCACCAAAGAACUUUGACCAAGGAAACUUUUUUGUUCCUUAGUCUACGAAUUUGACGAUCGAGGAUCUCAAUUGGGAUUUCUUCGUAAGAAAUAAUAUCCCGAACAUCUGUGCUUUCUAAAGGAACUACAGUAGCUGGAUCACUAAUACACUUCUUUAAUAAGGAAACAUGAAACACCGGAUGUACUGAUGCCAAAUCUGUAGGAAACUCUAGCUCAUAAGCUACCUUCCUAAAAUGACUCAAAAUUCUAUAAGGGCUAAAAUAUCGGGGUAUGAGCUUCCCCUUCUUGCCAAAUAUCUUCACUCCCUUCAUGGGAAAGAUUUUUAAAUAAACCAAAUCCCAAACUUCAAACUUAAGAUCUCUUCUCCUUACAUCUGCAUAAGAUUUCUGAUAGCUUUGGGCUGUCUUAAGCCUUUCCCUAAUUAACUGAACUUCAUCCAUUGCAUCAAACACCAAAUUUAGGCCCUAUCAACACAUCCUUACCUGCUUCAAACCAACCAAUAUGAGAUCUAUAUCUCCUCCCAUAAAGAGCCUCAAAUAGAGCCAUCUAAAUACUGGAGUGAUACUUGUAAUUGUAGGCAAACUCGAUCAAAGGAAAGUGAUCAUCCUAACUUCCUUUAAAGUCAAUAACACAUGCUCUCAACAUGUUCUCUAGGGUUUGAAUGAUACUCUCUGCCUAACCAUCUGUCUAGGGAUGAAAGGUUGUACUGAGAUGAACUUGGGUACCCAGACCUUUUGGAAAGCCUUCCAAUAGUGAGAGUUAAACUGAGUUCCUCUAUCUAAAAUGAUAUGCAAAGGAUCUUCAUGCAACCUAACUAUCUCUCUAAUAUAGAGCUUGGCGUAGUCCUCAGCUAAAUAAGAAGUAUGAUCUGGCAAGAAAUGAGCUGACUUGGUCAUUCUGUCUACUAUAACCCUAAUCAAAUCAUGCUAAUGAGUCGUACGAGGCAACCCUGUCAUAAAAUCCAUAUUCACCUCUUCGCACUUCUAAGUAGGGAUGCUGAACUCCUGCAAUGUGCCACUAGGCCUCUGGUGUUCAACCUUGACUUCCUGACAGUUAGAACACUUAGCUACAUACUCUGCAAUAUUUCUCUUCAUACCACUCCACCAAUAGAUUUUCCGCAAAUCACGAUACAUCUUAGUCGCUCCUGGGUGAAUGAAGUAACGUGAACCAUGCGCUUCUGCUAAAUCCGCUGUCUCAAAUCAUCAACACAUGACACACACAGCCUAUCCUGACAUUGCAACACACCAUCUCCUCCUUGGGAGAAAACCUGUACUUUUUGAUCUCUAAUUGAUUCCUUCAAAUUAACCAAACUGGAUCCCUAUCUUGCUUUUUUUUCACUUCGACAACCAAAGAAGAUUCCAAACCAUUGUGAACCCAUAUACUACACUCAGCUGAAUCAACCAACCGUACACAUAAUCUAGCAAGCUGAUGAACCUCCUAGACUAACUUCUUCUUAUCAUUCUCAACAUGAGUAACACUACCUAUAAACAAUCUACUAAGGGCGUCUGCCACUACAUUAGCCUUUCCCGGAUGAUACAACACACUCAUAUCAUAAUUUUUUAACAACUCAAGCCACCUUAUCUAACGAAGAUUUAAAUCUUUCUGCGAAAAUACAUACCGUAAACUUUUGUGAUCCAUGAACACAUCAAUGUGAACUCCAUAAAGAUAAUGCCUCCAUAUUUUCAAGGUAAAUACAACAACUGCUAACUCAAGAUCAUAGGUAGGGUAAUUCUUUUCAUGAGUCUUAAGCUAUCUAGAGGCAUAGGCUAUGACCUUACCCUCUGCAUCAAUACACAACCAAGACCAACUUUGGACGCAUCACAAUAAACAACAAACCCAUCUAAACUAUCUGGCAAAGUCAAGACUGGGCUGAGGUGAGUUGAGUGUUCAACUCCUAAAAACUCUUUUCACAAGAAUCUGACCACUGAAAUUUGACUUUCUUCUGAUUCAAUCGAGAAAUGGGGGAUGCAAUAGAUGAAAACCCUUCAACAAAAUGUCUGUAAUAGCUAGCCAAACCAUAGAAACUCUUGAUAUCUUAUGGAGAGAUGGGUCUGGGCCAGUUUCUCACUGCUUUGGUCUUUUGUGGGUCAACUUCAAUGCCAUCACCGAAAAUAAUAUGGCUAAGGAAAGCUACUGAUCUUAGCCAAAACUUGAACUUACUGAAUUUGGUGAAUAACUGAUGGGCUCUAAGAGUCUGUAAUACAAUUCUGAGAUAGUCCGCAUGAUCAUUUUCACUAUAAGAAUAGACAAGAAUAUCAUCAAUAAAGACUAUGUCGAACAUGUCCAAGUACUGCUUGAACACUGUCCAUGAAAGCUGCUAGGGCAUUCGUUAGUCUAAAAUACAUAACUAGGAAUUUUAGACUGUUUUCGAAAUGUCACAUUCUCUGACUCUGAGCUGAUGAUAGACGGAUCUGAGGUCCGUCUUAGAAAAAUAACUAGCACCCUGAAGUUGGUCAAACAAGUCAUCGAUCCUGGGGAGUGGAUAUUAAUUCUUGAUUGUGACUUUGUUAAACUGACGGUAAUUGAUGCACAUUCUGAGAGAAUCAUCUUUAUUGCGCAUGAAUAGGACUAGAGCGCCCCACGGGGAAGCACUGGGUCUGAUGAAUCCCUUAUCUAAGAGAUCUUUCAACUAUUUUUUCAACUUUUUGAGUUCAGCUAAAGCCAUUCUGUAGGGCGAAAUAGAAAUAGGCUAGGUAUCUGGAAGGAGAUCUAUUCCAAAUUCAAUUUCUCUUUCGAGAGGAACUCUGAGAAAAUCUUCCGGGAAGAUGUUUGGAAAUUCCGUUACCACUAAAACUAACUUGAGAAUGAGAGUCUCAGAAUUAGAGUCUUUGACUCAAACAAGAUGGUAAACACAUCCCUUAGGUAUCAUCUUUCUUGCUCUAAGACCUCUAAGAGCUGAAGUACUACUUCUCCAUUCAAUGACUGGUUUAUUAGGAUACUAAAACUGAACAACCCUAUUUUUAGACUCAACUGAAGAAUACAUGAGUGGAGCCAAUCCGUGACUAGAAUGACAUCAAAAUUAGUCAUCUCUAACUCCACAAGAUCCACUGAAGUGAUUUUCUGGGAUACUAUAACGGGGAAGUUUCGAUACCCAUCUGGCUAUGAUAGAAUUAUCCACUGGGGUGGACAAUGAGAAAGGCUCUGCUAUAUUUCUACACUGACACCGAAAUUGACAGCUAUAUAGGGGGUUACAAAAGAAAGUAAAGCUUCGCGAUCUAACAAGACAUACACAUGAAGAUGUAAAACCUGCAACAUACCUGUAACUACAUCAGGAGAACUUUCCUGAUCAUGUCAAGACUAAAGUGCAUACAGCCUAUUCUGGCGCUGCCAAUAGUCACACUAGAAGUGGCGCCCUGUUGAGUCAGGCGACCUACGAGUGCUGCUGAAAAAGUAUUCUGGCCCUAUUGGCGAUUAUUUUUUCCCCUCUAUGCCACCACCAUACACUCUCGGAUCUUGUGUCUUGGCUUGCCACAUCCAAAACACACGUCACUGCUAGCCUUACAAACACCCUGAGGAUAUUUACCACAUUUCUAGCAAAGUGGAUUAGUACGACCACUGUUCACACUACCCUAGGACUUUGCGCCCUAUCCCGAUUGUCAUUCCUGAACUUUGGCACUGGUGUACUAGCUGAAAAUGGAGCUAGAGCUAAAAAUUUUUGAUGGAACUGAGAACUGUUACCACCUUCUGACCUCGGCUGAGAAAAGUUAAAACUGCCAGUUUUAGCCCUCUUAUUCUCUCUCUCUUUAUCCUUAAGCUUUUGUUCCUCAAUAUGUUGAGCAUGAACUAUAAGCCUAGAUAAGUCCAUCUCCUUAAUCAACAUAGCAUUCCUACAUUCUUUGACUACACUAUCAGCUCCACCAGAAAUAAACUUACUAAUUCUAGACCUAUUAUCAUCCACCAUCUAAGGAGAAUACCUCGCCAACUGAGUAAACUUAAGUGAGUAUUCCUUCACACUCAUAUUACCCUGCUUCAAAUUAAUGAACUCCAAUGCCUUAGCUUCUCUCAACUUUAAUAGAAAGGACCUGUCUAAGAAGGUCAUGGAAAACACCUUCCACUCAAUAGGACUUGCCUCAACACCUCUAUCCUCCUUCCACUGCUUAUACCACGUAUGAGCUACAUCCUGCAAAUGGUAAGCAACCAACUCUGCACUCUCACUCGAAGUGACACCUAUGAUAUUAGUCACCUUCUGAACCAUAUCAAAAAACUCUUGUGGAUCUUCCUCAGAGUUGGAUCCCAAAAACAAAGGGGGAUUCAUUUAAGUGAAAUCUCAAAUCCUAGCUGCAGCUGUAUUUACCACUGGGUUAGCUGGGGCAACAACUUUCUGGUUGUUCUAAGCACCUACUGAGUGAGCUAAGGGACUGAAUAUAGCUCUGAACUCAACAUGAGAGAUGUGCUCAUUUAGAAGAUUUUCCUGAACAGGCGAAGGUGCCAGCUGAUUACCGUUUCUUCUUCCAUUGUUUGUUUUGGGAGGCAUUAUCUGUAAAUGGAAGGAAGAAUGAGUUAGAAAGAGAGUUUUAAAUAGAUUUUAUGCUUAUUCACAGGAUAUGAAUAUUAAAAAAAGGGAAACUUUUCCUAAAAUGUCUUGUAGCCUCUUAUCCAUAAGCAUGGCACGCUUUACACCCACAUACGAGACUUUACUUAAUGCGGCUUUCAAACUCCCUAGGAAACUAUAAAACCUUAGGCUCUGAUACCAAGUUUUGUCAAGACCCGAGGCUACCCUCUAGUCGCGAUAACAGUGCUUAUGGUCAUAGGUGACCACAAGCUAACCUAUAACCUAGUACCUAUUGUGAGCACUGAAUACACUACAAUAAAACAUGUAUGCAUAAGAUAAACUAAUAAGGCCAAAAUCAAUCAAAAUACUGAAAACGUGAUUCAAUCACAAGUCUGUGAACGUCUGAUAACAAUACUGAAAACAUAACUGAUAAUACUGAUAAACUGACUAGCUGUAUGAUUGACUGUCUGAAUGUGUGAAAUCCUCUAAACUGACUGAGAAGUUGAUGGGAUAGGCCCCAACUAACUCCAACUGACUAACUGAAAAGAAAUGCGAAAACAACUUAAUAAACAGAAUAGGUCCUUGAUAUAUGAGGACUCACCACUGCAGUUGCUACUGUAAUGCUGGAAUGUCUAAGUAUGAUCGAGAAUUUAAGCAUCCGAACCUAUGAUAUAAGAUAUCAUAGCGCAAAGAAGAGUAUGCAGUCAGUACUCUGAAUGUAUUGGUAUUUAAGAUAAGGUUAGGCUGAAAUAUAUAGUUUAACUGUACAUGAAUUAAUGACUGACUGAAUAGCAUGAGAUAACUGAGUAAGCAUGCAUGAAAAUUGAAAUACUGAGAAGGUGAGACCAAGCAUAUAUAUAUAUAUAUUUCUGAAAUGAUUUGUAAACUAAAAUACUAAAAUCUGAAUGACAGUUAAUACGUAUACUUUGGUCAAGAAAACCUGAACUGAAUUCUAUAUUAAGUACUGAACUGAGACUGUGGGAGGUAUCAUCUAACCGAAAUGCUUAAAUAUGGGAUAAUCGGGGUCCAACCUAUAACCCUAGUUGGAAGUGUGUCAGUACCAUGCCAUAGGUACUAACUCUAGCUGUGUGGAUCCACUAAACUGGUGUCCCGGAGGACCAGGGUGUCAAGAUUAACUGAUAGGUGACCCCUGAGAGGAAACAAGCCUAACUGACAGGUGACUCCUCAUAUCCUGUGCUGGCUACGUAGUUCUGGAAUACAGGGACUGCUACUAAUGAAUUUGCCUAAUUGACGGUGAAAUCUCCCCCCUUCAUUCGCUCAGCACUAAAUCCUACUCCCAACUGAACUGGCACUGAUUACUGGACUAAACUAAGCUUAACUAAACAAAAAAUUGUUUAUAAUAACUGACUAAAUGACAAUGCUCAUGGUUUAUCUGAAAUUAUUUUGAAGAUACUGAAAUUAUGUAAAUAAUUAGGUAUCAGGUGUUCAUAACCCACCAACGCUGAAUGGAAAUAAUAAUGAUGACAUAUAAAGCUUUAAGAAAAACAUAGAAGGGGAUCAUUGCUCAAAACUCAACAUUUAUACAUAUCAUCAAACACAUGAGAGUCAUGAAUUUAAGCAUGGUAAUAGGUAAAGCAUGCAAAAAUAACAUGACCACAAUACUAAAAGCAUGAAUUAGGGAUUUUAAUAUGAAGAUUUCAAUAGUCAAAAAUAUGUAAUGGCUCAUCUCAUCGUAAACACUUGUAAAUUUAACUCAAAAUCAAAAUCAUAAUAGCUUCAUGGAGAUAAUUCAACUUGAAGAUGUAAAAACUCAUAAUUUAAAAAUAUAAAGGGAUUCUUGGACUUCAUGGGUGAAAAGGGCCCAUGGAUAAAUAUCACACAUACCUUAAACCCUUAAGCUUAAAGGAGAAACACUAAUCUUGAUAUUUUCUUGAAUGAUAUUGGAUUGGAAAACUUGAAUUCUUGGUUUUCUUGUAGAGAAAGUAAUGGAAUUUGAUAAUCUUGGGGGAGGAGAGGGUUCAUUUUUGAGAGAAAAUUAGAGAAGCUGGGCAAAUAAUGCCCUAACCGGUGUUAUAAUUCGUGAUUUGACGAAUUGGGUUGAGGGAAAAAGACAUAAUUGCCCCUCAGGCAAUUAAAUUCAUAACUGGAAUAUGGUUUACAAGGUCACCGUAAUGCGAUGAGAUUUCCAUCGCCAUUAGCACCGCGACGCGACACUAUCGUGAUGAACUGCUGGAAUCGUGAUCCAAACAUGACCCAAUCCUCAUCCGAAAAAUUUGAAACUUCCCCGAGACAUGCUCCUUACACCCCUGAACAUGAAUUAACUCAAAAACCAAUAUCUUAGUAUCAGGAAGACCAAUUUUAAAGUCCUCAAAGUUAAGAGGCCUUACAAAUGACUAAGUCCCAACACUUAGUGAAAUUUUUAGGUUUUAAGCCUCUUAUGUAUACAGCUAAGACCUGAAUUGAGCUAAGAAUAAUACAGUAUUACAUUUUUUUAAAAACCUCUUACAAUUGUCCUUCACUAUCCCAAGAAUUGGCCAGACAUGUAUAAGAGCUACCUAUUAUAAAAUAAACUGAUGACAAAAUAAAUAAUACAAAGACACUAACAUCUGAUAAGAAGGAAGUGCGAAAGUUAGUACUGAAUAUCAUCAUUUAUCUAGUAACUCCAAACUAACCUACAUCCAGUCUAUACCCCAAGAAGGAAUACAGAAGAGCAGGGUCAGUACAAACAGACGUACUGAUAGACAUCAUUGGUCGAAAUUACAUAAUCAUAAAAUGGAAUCAAGAAAAAGAAAUCAAGACAUCUUAAAUGGAAUAUAAUUCAACUAAAGUUGUAAUAUGAUUAUAACACUUUGUCUAUAUAAUUUACAAUUCUCCAACUCUAUUAACGAGAUUAUAUUCACCACUAGCAAGUCUAGCCUCAUUAAUUCACACUAUCCACUGCAUCCAACACUAAGCCAUCACUAUCACCCUUUAUUCACAUUACCUUUUCCAUUACUUACAUCUAUACGAGAUCAAUCUAGUAAUCUUAGACAACUCACACUAACUCUCGGGUUAAUAACCAAACGCUCUCUUAUAACAUUAAAGAAUAAUAAAUAGUCAAUCGGAUAAGCUACGAUUACAAUAAGUAUAAAUGAAGUAAGUCGACUAACAUAUAGCAAGUAAAUACAAAGUUUCAUUUUUUCAAGUACGUGUCACACAAUCAAUCUCAAAGAUACAAUUAAGUAGGAAAUACAAGUCAACUCACAUCUUGUCACGACCUAAAAAUUAGGGGUCAUGUAGCACUUAUCGUGGUUAAUCCUUGACAUAUAAGUCAAUCACCCAAACUAAUAUGAAGUACAAAAUCAACACCAAAUUCAAGACAAGACAAGUCGAAUCCUACAUAUACAAUAGAAGCAGAAAUCUAAAAUCAUAAUAAAUACCACAAACUAUCCCAAAAUCUAGCGUCACGGUGUAAUAACAAACUAAAUAUAUCUUGAAGUUUGAAAAUAUAAUUGUAAGUUCAAAAAGGAACAUAUAUCUGCCUCCAAAUAUAAAACAAACAUAAACUAGAAAGGAUGGGGUAGGAGGUCGACGUCUGGAAGCAUAAAGCUUCCACUAUCUCGGAUGUAAUGAAUUACCGUCCAAACUCAGCUGCUGCAUGGCACACUCAUACCUAGAUCUGCACUAAAAGGGCACAGUAGGAAUUUAUACGGUUCACUUGUACCCAAUAGGUAUCAUAGUAUGCCUGAGAAAAGCAAAAAUAAAGUAUAAAAAUACACAUUAUGGACACGUCACCUGUAAUAGGAAAAUAUACCAAAUGGUAGCCCACACCGUCUCCAUUAAUAGUUCUAAAUAUAUCGCAUACACUAGACACAAAUAUGAAAAAGAAUUUCAAAAUAGAUAGACAUCAAGUCGAACAUGAAAGCACAACACAGAAGAUGCAUAAUGUAUGAAAUGCAAUGAGAAUGAUAAUAUGAUAUUUUUGAGGUUGUCAAAUAGCCUCCAUAUACACCUACCAAGAACUGCUCUAGGGUAGGACCAAUGAGGGGUUUGCAAUCCAUAUACAAUCUCAAUAACCAAAUCUAGUCUCAAUAUCCAUAUCUCCUCUCUGACUUAUGAACUACGGUAGAUGGUUUUUGAAGGAGUCACAUUUCUAUCAAAACAAUUAGUAUUUUUACAAUGGUACCAAUGUCUCAUGAGCAUAUGUAUGAUAUGAGGACGUCGUGCUCAUAACUAAAUCAGAAAGAGAAUCUUAAAUCAAACUAGAAUACUCACACGUGAGCUAAAAAUUCACUCAAUGGGUCAACCAUCCAUAAUCCAAUAUGAGCCAUGUACCAGUAGAGUGAAAUUUGAAAGUAAUACAUCACUGAUAUCACAUAAACCCAACUUAAGCAAUUCCACUAGGAAGAAAACAACUAUAUGUAUACACUAAAUUAACAAUGUCAGAUAAGACCCCCACAAGGGUCACACAUAAUAAUUAUUGUCUCAACCCACCAAUAAUAACACAUAAGCCCCCACACGGGCGCACAAUGGUAUUAACACUAUUUUCAUGAUUCAUUCCCAUAUCCAUAACAUGCUUUUAUAUAAUAUAGUAACUGCUCAGUCCAGUCUAAAGAAAGUUAAGUCAAAACAUACCUUAUGACGCAGAAAUCCAAACCAACAACAUUUCAUGCAGAGUUUUUUCCCUCUCGAACAACUCUAGAAUCAACUAAAAUAUAUAAAUAUAGAAUCUACGUAUCAAAAGAAAGCCAAUGAUACUCAUAUUGCCUAUUUUUAAAUUGAGGUCAAACGAACCUCCAAAAUAAGUUUUCAAAAAGGAGUAAAACUGAAAUUUUUGUUCAUAAACACAUUACCCGUGAUUAAAAAAAUUCAUAGAAGAAAACUCAAGUGAAAACAGGUUGAAAAUGAGGCUUAAAUUGAAGAAAAAUCAUUUUAGGCCUUCUGGGCCAAAAUUUUCAAAUUUCACUUUUGAAAUAGUAUUUUAAUGGGUUUUAGAUGGCAAGAAUCAAAGUAAAAUAAUUACAAUAGUGAUUUGGAACUUAUCCAAGCUUAAAGAUGGAAAAAAUUUCCCAAAAACUCUGAAACCCGAAGCAAAGUCUCAAAAAUGGGGAAAAAUCAGAAAAAUUGAUUUUCAUAUUAUGUUAGGCUUGACCACUUAAGCAGCCACAACACUUGACCGCUUUAGCGAUCAAGUUCCAUUUAGCAAUACCCGUGUGCCUUCCUAGUUUGCUUUGUCGGAAGCCGCUAAAAGCGGCCCCUUGUCCGCUAAAGUGGAUAAGGUUCUUCUUUAGCAGUCCCCAACUGAGGAGACAGGUCGCUAAAGUGACCUGCUGGCCACUACUAAAGCAAUCCAAGAGUCUCUUUAGUAGUUGCACUAGCUGAGACUUGAAUGAUUUUCAAGUCUCUGCGGACCCCUCAAAAUUCACCUGAAAUCCCGAGAACACAAAUAAUCUACGCUACCCUACCAUAUUUGAUGCUCCAAACUCAAUGGCGCUAUCAAAUUUUGAAAAAAAAAGGUUAUUUUAACAAAAUUAACCCCCGAGAUCCAAUUUCUCAAUCUUCCGAAUUGAGGAUUGAAAUGAGAUAUAUAAGCCAUAAAAUCACACUAACCAUGUUACCAUCCCAAAAUUGAUAUUUUGAAUCUGCUAAUGCAGUUUGUUUUAUCAUCUGGCACACAAAAUAAUAAAUAUUGAUCAAAAUUAAUUAUAAAGUCUUUUCACAUCUAAAAAUCACAAACUUGCACAAAUCACACUGAAAUGCAUUGAGAACCAUGCCGACAAUUCUCACACUCCAGAAACAUUAUGUAACAACCACAAAAAAGGGUAAAAUGGUUAAAUUACAUAAAAAUAAAUAAUUCACAAAAUCAAGUCCUUACACAUCUCAAUAAAACACACUAGAGAACUCAAGUCUCAUUAGCAAACCUUAUAGAUACUCUAGAAGAAAGAUUAAUUCAGUUAUUGAAAUUUGAGGAUCGUUUCUUUGGAAUUAUUCAUUGGAUUUAUCACUUUAUAUCACUUAAUUGUUAUUUUUUUAUUAUUAUUAUCACCAUGCAGGCUCAUGUCGGCUAUACUGCUUGAGAAAUUAAUAUAAUAGCAAUAUUAACAUGACUCGACCACGGGCCUUAUCGUAAUAGGCAUCCCAAGUCCAACUAGGACCGGGGACCGCCCCCUAUUACCCAAAACAUUACCUAUAUCCAGCUUUAGAUGGGUUGAAUUUCGAGCAUAUAACAAGACAAUGUAAAUGCUCUCAUGAAGACUCUGGCAUAGGGUCACAACCGUGACCGACCCAACCGAGUCCAACCGUACCAAAUCAACCAUCCAACCAUACUAACCAAACCAUAGGACAUAAACCAUGACGUAACCAAAAAGAAUACCAAAACAUAAUAUGAUAAUCAAUCCUGAAAUGUAAUACGAUGGAACAGUGAGAAAUGCAAAGGCCGACACUAAUAUCGAUACCGCCCAUACUGACCCCUAGAAGUACCACAAAGCCUCUAUCCAAAAGAGUAAAUAAUCUGGUUGGGACAUGCCCCCUACCAUGACCAAAAUCAAUAUCCAAAAUAAAGUCAAAAUGUCUAACAAUAUCCAUUACAUGAAAUGAUUCCUUCUAAAAGGAUGGAAACUCACCAUUUUAGUCCAAAUAUUAUCCCCGAGGCAAUCAUUAUGUAGGAAGAGUUGAAUGGCCGGUUCCUACAUAGCGUGGGUAUAUAGCCACCAGUAGACUAGUUAGUGAGUGACCGCUAUCAUGAAUCUCAAGAUAAGAAGAAAAUAAUGCCUGUUAUAAAACCAAGUAAAACCAUCCAAUGCACAUAACCAUACAUAUAUACAUAUAUAUAUAUAUGUAUAUAUAUAUAACCAUGCCGGGAAAGGGAAUCGGAUUUAGCAUGCCUUUAAAACAUUUACCUGGGUUGUGUAUCUUAGCCGUCCUAAGCCACCCAUGAGUGAUAUGAGUUCACCUCCCUUUUCUGAAAGGGCCUCACUGCGUGUAACUGCACGACCAGGGAAGUAUCCCAUGGGAUGACUAGUACAUCCCCCAAUAGUGAGAUAUCAUGCACAUGGUCCACUAAGACCAAUCCUCAUAUCAGUAAAUACGAGUUUUUAGUUUUGGUCUCCCAGGGACCGCCACCUUCCAAGACUUUGCUACACACCCCGCCACUAAUGCGCAAUUAAAACCAUUUCCAAAUAACUAAACCAUUUUCAUUUCAUUUAACCAAGGCCAAUAUUAGUGGUAUCGUCAUGCCACCCCUUACUUGCGACCAAUAUCCAUAACCAAACCAUUAAGGUUAAAAGGACUUUUAAGUGCCCUUUUAUAUGCCAUAGCAAACCACUUGGGAGACUUCUAUGUUCCCCACAAGCAUAACCAUUUUGCCUUUAGCCUUUUUAAAUUAUUUAAACCAUUUAAAGCUUUAUUGCAUAAGCUGAAAACAAGCAAGAGUUUUAUUAAAAAAAGUCAAUGCAAUGAAUAUACCUUUAUAAGCAUUUUAUCAAACACCUUGGGGGCAUAAUAUAACCAAAAGAAAUUCCAAAGACCAUUAAACCAUUACCAUGUAAUCCAACUGUCCAAAACCACCAUUAAUGCAUAUAAAAGCAUAAUUAAAACCAUAACCGAGCAUUUAAUAUCAAACCCCCCCAAAUAAUAGUUGAAAACCAUAAUCAUGAAAUAGUAAAACCAUGAAAUCAAUCAUAUAAACCAUGCUUUUAUUUGAAAUUACAAUGAGGGAAGAGAAUCAUGCAUUAUACCGAAGAAGAUAAUGGAAAGAAAUUGGCAACAUAAUCCCCAAAGCAAUCCUUUAGUUGAAACUUUAGCUCUCUUGCCCCAAAAGCUCUUGAGAGAAUUAUGGAGUGUUUUGGAGUAGUUUCCAAGGACUAAUGAAUAGAAUAAUAGGGUAAAUAACCUCCUAAGUGUAUUAGAAGUCAUGGGUCCUAAUUUGGGUUAGUAGGGAAAUGUCCAGAAUACCCCCACUUAAGUUGCACAAAAUCUUAUCACAAGGAUACGACUGACCCAUACGAGUCGUACCCUCCUAUACAAUUGGUUUCCACCACUCAUAUCCAAGCCUCAACCUUGGAUCAGACAUUAUCCAGUAUACGACUCAUCCAACCAAGUCGUAACCCCAGCAUACGAUCCGUACCCAUGAUCCGUAUCCCUAGUAGAAUAAAAUACCAAGAGGAUCAAACACUUUCCACCAUACGAGUCCCUGAUACGUCUCGUACCAAGACCUAUGACUCAUACCCCAAAGUCAUAACCAUUCCAGUGACCAAAACCAUCCUACAAACUAACAUUAGUUAGCAUAUGGAACGACCAUGCCACUCGUACCCCAACAUACGAAUCAUACCCAUGAGUCAUAUUGGGUCCGGAGAAUAGAAAUUUUAGGAAAUUUUCUAAGGGUCAAAACCUAGGAUAUUUCGGUCUCCCCUACUAGGAACAUUCAUUCCCGAAUUACGAACAAAGUAGGGGUAACCACACAUAAAGUCAUUUGAAUUGCCAAACAUAUUCCCAAUCUUCAUUAAAGUUCGAAAAUAAAGAGGUAAAGAUGUUAAUCUUUUCUUCAACAAAUUAAAAAAAUAAAGAUGUGUUCAAGAACACAUACCUUAUGUACGAAUCCCAAGAGCAGAAAACAGAUGCGGAUACUUGGACGUCCUGUCCUCUUCCAUUUCCCAAGUAGCUUCUUACACCUUAUGGUUCCACUAUAGAACCUUAAUCGAAGCCACAUCCUUGGUCUGAAACUGAUGAACUUGCCUAACUUAUAUCUUAACCGAAACUUCUUUAUAAGAUAAAGAAUCUGAAAUACCCAAUCCUUCUAAAGGAACAAUCGAAGAAGGAUCACUAAUGCACUUCCUCAACAUGGAAACAUGAAAGAUCGGAUGAACCAAACUUAAUCUUGAUGGUAACUCCAAAUUAUAAGCAAAAUUACCAACUCUUCGCAAAAUCACAUAAGGAAAAACAUACCGAGGACUGAUUUUCCCCUUUUUGUCAAACAACACCUCUCCCUUCAUGGGAAAUACCUUGAGGAACACCCUAUUCUUGACCUCAAACUCUAAGCCUUUACGCCUAACAUCUCUAUUGGAUUUUUAGUGAAUUUUGGUAGCUUUAAGCCUAUCUCGAAUCACCUUGACCUUCUCCAUCGCUUGAUAAACCAAAUCUGGGCCAAACACGUCUGCUUGACCAAGCUCAAACUAACCAAUAGGAGAUCUACACCUCCUACCAUACAAUGACUCAAAAGGAGACAUACCAAUACUCGAAUGAUAGCUAUUGUUGUAAGCAAACUCCACCAAAGGUAAAUUCUCAACCCAAUUGCCACCAUAGUCAAUCACACAAGCCCAAAGCAUAUCCUCCAACGUUUGAAUAGUUCUCUCCGCUUGCCCAUCCGACUACGGAUAAAAAGUAGUACUCAACUAACCUUUGUCCCCAACCUUUUUUGGAAAAACCUGCAAAAGUGAGACAUAAAUUGCGUACCACGAUCAGAAAUAAUUGAAACAGGCACCCUAUGCAGCUUCAUAAUCUCCUGAACAUACAUCUUUGCAAAAUCCUCUGCCAAAAAGGUAGUCCACAUUGGGAAAAAGUGUAUAGACUUAAUAAUCCUAUCCACGAUGACCCAAAUUAAAUCAUACUGAUUUCGAGACCGAGGAAGACUGGUAACAAAGUCCAUAUUGAUCACUUCCCACUUCUAUUCGGGCAAAUUAAUUUCUUAAUACAACCCUCCUGGCCUUAUGUGCUCAACCUUAACCUGUUGAAACACUAUAUACUUGGACACACAAUCAUCCAUAUCUCUCUUCAUGCCAUUCCACUAAUAGAUCUCCUUGAGAUCAUGAUACAUCUCAGUCAAGCCGGGAUGAACAACAUAGCACAACUCAUGCGCCUCAACUAACACCCUUUGCCGCAACCUGUUGACAUAGGAAUGCACAACCUUCUUUGUACCAUAAAGUACCAUCACCACUAAUCUCAAGCACCACUUUCUUUUUGUCCACUGACGUCACUCUUGAUUUUCAUCAAGACAGGAUCCAACACUUAUUUCUCUUUGAUCUCCGCAACAAGAGAUAAUCGAACCACCUCUUGUACCAUCAUACUAUUAUCCUUAGAGUCUAAGAGAUGAACUCUAAGAUUAGCCAAGCAGUGAAUAUCCUUCACCAAUUCUCUCUUCCCCUCCUCUACAUAAGACAAACUCCCCAUGGAUAACCUGCUAAGAGCAUUAGCAACCACCUUAUCCUUACUUGGGUGGUAGUGAAGACUCAUAACAUAAUUCUUGAGAAGUUCAAGCCAUCUCUUCUGCCUGAGAUUAAGCUCUUUCUGAGUGAACAUGUACUGAAGACUCUUGUGAUCAGAAAAGAUAUCUAUGUGAACACCAUACAAAUAAUUCUGCCAUAUUUUCAAAGAAAACACAACCACCAAUAACUCUAAAUCAUGCGUAGGAUAAUUAUUUUCAUGUACUUUCAACUACCUAGAAGCUUAGGCAAUCACCUUCCCAUGCUUCUUCAAAAUACACCCAAGACCUACUCGAGAUGCAUCGCAAUACACCACAAACCUAUCAUUGCCUUUCGGCAAAGUCAGGAGUGGAGCCAAAGUCAAAUUAUCCUUUAACUUCUAAAAACUCCCUUCACAAGCAUCUAACCAGGGAAACUUAACCUUCUUCUGAGUCAAUUUAGUCAAAGAUUUAGCUAUCGAAGAAAACCUUUCCACAAACUGCCUAUAAAUCCCAGCUAAACCCAAGAAGCUUCGAAUACCAGAUGGAGUUAUGGGCUUAGGACACCUCUUCACUAUAACAAACUUCUGUGGAUCCACCAUGAUCACUUUACUAGAAAUUAUAUGACCCAAGAAAGUCACAACAUUCAAUCAAAACUCACACUUAGAGAACUUGGCAUACAACUAUUAUUUCUUUAAGAUCUGCAAAACCACACAGAGGUGAUUAGCAUAAUCCACCCCACUCUUCAAAUAAACCAAAAUGUCAUCAAUAAACAUAAUGACAAAGAGAUCCAAAUACUGCCUGAACACCCAGUUCAUCAAGUCCAUAAAUGCUAUCAGAGCAUUAGUCAUCACAAAUGACAUCACCAAGAACUCAAAAUGCCCAUACCGAGUACGAAAAGUCAUCCUACGGAUAUCUACCUUCCUAAUCUUAAGCUGAUGGUACCCCGACUAAAGAUCUAUCUUAGAAAAAAACUUGGCACCCUAUAACUGAUUAAAUAGAUUAUCUAUCCUUGGGAGAGAAUACUUAUUCUUAACCGUUACCUUAUUCAACUACCUGUAGUCAAUGCACAUCUGAAGAGAACCAUGCUUCUUGCACAUAAACAACCCUAGUGUACCCUAGGAAGAAAUGCUAGGACAAAUAAACCCAUUGUAUAGAAGAUCCUUAAGUUGCUCCUUGAGUUUCUUCAACUCAAUCGGAGAUAUUCAAUACGGAGAAAUAGAUAUUGGACGAGUAUCUGGAAGUAAAUCAAUACCAAACUCUAUUUCCCUAUCCAUAGGGACACCAGGAAGAUCAUUCGAAAAGAACUCUAGAAACUCAUUAACCACAGGGACCGAAGACAAAGAAGGACCUUUUGUUUUAAAAGCUUUAGACCGGACUAAGUGAUAAAGACAGCCCUUGGACAUUAACCUUUGAGCUCUAAGAUAAGAAAUAAACCUCCCCCUAGGAGCUAAGGAACUACCUUCCCAUUCUAUAACCGAUUCACCAGGGAACUUAAAGAUAACCCUAUAGGUUUGGCAGUUUAAAGACACGUAACAAGAAUGCAACCAAUUCGAACACAGAAUCACAUCAAAAUCUAUUAUAUCCAAAUCAAAUGGAUCCACCAAGCUCUGCUUGCCACCAACAGAUACCACACCCCCCUAUAGACUCUCUUUGUAAUAACCGAGUUACCUAUCGGGUAAAAAUAGAAAAAGGAUCCGUAAUAACUUUUAGAUCAAAACCAAAAGAUACAACUAUAUAUGGAGUCACAUAAGAAAGAGUGGACCCAGGAUCAAGCAAACAAUAUACGUCACGAGAGAAGAACUAUAACGUACCAGUAAUGACAUCAUGUGAUGCCUCAAAUUCCUGUUGGGAUGCCAAAGCAUACAACCUGUUUUGAACAACACUAGAAUCGGGAGUAGUAAUAAAAGCAGAUACCACACCACUAUGUGCAGGAGCAGAAGAUGAAGUCACAAAAAUUUUAUUCGUCCCCGUAGCAACCAUGUUAACUAAAUAAUCCCCGAGCCGAUGGCUGACAUGGACAUAUUUGAAGUAUUUUCCCUUCUUUCUUUGCAAUAACCCCGAUGAGGACGAUUAUAGAAUCAACAAGGAGGAUGAAGAAACAGACCGACCUUCGCUCGCCUGAGAUUGGGCAACCUGCGCCCGCGAAUUGUCACUGCCUUGAUGACGCCUGUCUCUUGACUGGUAAGAAGCACUAGUAGAAAAGGAGCUAAAACUCCCCCACUUCUUUUUCUGCCACUUGCCACCAUCUAUACCGCCUGAGACUGAGCACCUCUCUAAUCAGAGAACCUGCUCCUCUUUUUCUGCCUAUCUCUAAACUCUUCCUGCCUUUUCUUCUCAUCCUCAACCUACUGCAUAUAAGCAAUCAACCUCGAGAUAUCUAUAUAUUUAAUCAACAAGGUAGUUUUGCUCUCUAGAAUCAAAUCUCUAUUCAACCCAAAAAUAAACUUCCUUAUUUUUGACCUCAUAUCAUCCACUAAGUCAGGAGUAUACCUUGAUAGUUGAUGGAACUUUAAAACAUAUUCCUUUACUGACAUCCUCUUUUGCCUGAGGUUCACAAACUCCUCCAUCCUCGCUUCCCUCAACUCUUAAGGAAAGAACUGAUCUAAGAAGGAAUUAGAAAAGGCCUCUCACAACCCUUCCUUUUCUAUAUCACCCUUAUCUCUAUCCCACUUCUCAUACCACUAAUAAGUAAUAUCCUUGAGUAAGUUGGAAGGUUAACCCCCUCUACAUUAGUAACCUGCAUCGCUCGAAAGAUCUUUUCUAUCUUAUUCAAGAAGUCCUAUGGAUCCUCCCACACCUUCACUCCAGUAAAAGUUGGAGGACCUAUCUUCAUAAAUUAACCAACUCCUGUGGCCUCAGCGGAUAAAGCACCAGUCGUACCCUUCUUAGCUUGAGCAAUAACCAGUUGGAAAAUAAUAUGAAUAGAUUGAUAAAAUUCUAUGUUCGUCACGCUGCCUUGAGGGACCUGAAGGGAACUAGCCGGAAUUGGAGGAACUUCAGCACUAUCAGGAAUAGGGCCAUAAGAUCAAAGAUAUACUUCAGACGUAGGACGUAUCCUUUCAGCAUUAUCCCCAGAUGAGAUAGAAGAAUUUUCUUGUGUUCCAGAUCUAGGAGGCAUGAUCUGAAAGACGAACAAACAAGGAUAGAGAAGAUUUCCAGGAUUGAGAACUCAAUCUUGAAGAUAGAAUACCAAGAAAGUAAAACAUUCCUAAAUGUCUUACAGUCUCUCCCUUAUGAGUGUGGCGUGCUUCACACCCCUAAAAGAGGCUCUACUCAACAUGACUUUGUAGACUUCCCAGCUUACCAUGAACUUAAGCUCUGAUACCAACUUGACAUAACCUGAUCCCAGACCUUAUCGUAAUGGGCAUCAAAAGUUAAACCAGGAUCGGGGAUUGCCCCCUAUUACCCAAACCAUUACCUAUAUCCAGCCUUAGAUGGGAUGAAUUUUGAUCAUAUAACAAGAUAGCAUAAAUGCUCUCAUGAAGACUCUAGGAUAGAUUCACAAUCACAACUGACCUAACCGAGUCCAACUAUACUAAAUCAACCAUCCAACAAAACCAUAGGCCAUAAACCAGGCCGUAACGAAAGAGAAUACCAAAACAUAAUAUGAUAAUUAAUCCCAAAAUUUAAUAUGAUGAAACAAUGAGAAAUAGUGUUCGAUGAUGCUAGCCUCCCAGCUUAUUCUAAUGCCAAGGCCGACAUCUACUGAUCCCGCCCAUACUAACCCCCAGAAGUACCAUAAAACCUUAUCCAAAAGAGUAAAUAAAUUCGGUUGGGACAUGCCCCCAACCAUGGCCAAAAUCAAUAUCCAAAAUAAAGUUAAAACAUCUAAGAAUAUCCAUUACAUGAAAUGAUGCCUUCCAAAAGGAUGGAAUCUUACGACUUCAUUCCAAAUGUUGUCCUCGAGUCAAUCACUAUGUAGUAGAAGUCAAAUGAUCGAUUCCUACAUAGCGUGGGUAUACAACCGCCAGUAGAUAGGUUACCGAGUGACUGCUAACAUAAAUCUCAGGAUAAGGAUAAAAUAAUUCCAGUUAUAAACCAAGUAAAACCAUCCAAUGCACAUAACCAUACAUAUAUAUGUAUAUAUAUAUAUAUAUAUAUAUAUAUAUAUAUAUAUAUAUAUAUAAACAUACCGGAUUCCUAAAUCACCUACGGACGAUAUGGGUUCACCUUCCCCUACUGAAAGGGCCCCAGUACGUAUAACUGCACGACCAGAGAGGUAUCCCAUGGGAUGAAUAGUACAUACCCCAAUAGUGUGACAUCAUGCACACAAUUCCCUAAGACCAAUCCUCAUAUCGGCAAAUACAAGUUUCCAUUUUUGGUCCCCCCCGGGACUGCCACCUUCCAUGACUUUGCUACACACUCCGCCAUUAAUGCUUAAUUAAAAGCGUUUCCAAAUAACCAAACCAUUUACCAUAUUGUUUAACCAAGGAUAAUAUUAGUGGUAUCGUCAUACCACCCCUUACUUGCAAGCAAUAUCCAUAGCCAAACCAUUAAGGUUAAAAGGACUUUCAAGUGCCCUUCCAUUUUUUAUAUUAAACCACUUGAGAGACUUCCAUGUUCCCCACAAGCAUAAACAUUUAGCCUUUAGCCUUUUUAAAUCAUUUAAAAUAUUUAACAAGCAUAAACAUUUAGCCUUUAGCCUUUUCAAAUCAUUUAAACUAUUUAAAGCUUUAUUACAUAAGCUGAAAAUAAGCAAGAGUUCCAUUUAAAGAAGUCAAUGCAAUGAAUAUACCUUUAUAAAUAUUUUAUCAAACACCUUGGGGGCAUAAUAUAACCAAAAGCAAUUCCAAAGACCAUUAAACCAUUACCAUGAAACUGUCCAAAAUCACCAUUAAUGCAUAUAAAAGCAUAAUUAAAACCAUAGGAAACCAUAACCAAGAGUUUAAUAUCACCCCUCCCAAAUAAUAGUUGAAAACCAUAAUCAUGAAAUAGUAAAACCAUGAAAUCAAUCAUACAAACCAUGCCUUUAGUUGAAAUUACAAUAAGGGAAGAAAAUCAUGCCUUAUACCGAAAAAGAUCAUGGAAAGAAAUCACCAACACAAGCCCCAAAACAAUCCUUUAGUUGAAACUCUAGCUCUCUUGCCGCAAAAGCUCUUGAGAGAAUUAUAGAGUGUUUUGGAGUAGUUUCCAAGGGUUAAUGAAUAGAAUAAUAGGGUAAAUAACCUCCUAAGUGUAUUAGAAGUCAUAGGUCCUAAUUAGGGUUAGUAGGGAAAUGUCCAGAAUACCCCCACUUAAGUUGCACAAAAUCUCAUCACAAGGAUACGACUGACCCAUAUGAUUCAUACCCUCCUAUGCAAUUGUUUUCCACCACUCAUAUCCAAGCCUAAACCUUGGAUCAGAUAUUGUCCAGUAUACGACUCAUCCAACCAAGUCGUAACCCCAGCAUAUGAUUCGUACCCAUGACCCGUAUCCCUGGUAGAAUGAAAUACCAGAAGGAUUAAACACUUCCCACCAUACGAGUCCCUAAUAUGACUCAUAUCAAGCCCUAUGAAUCAUACCCAUAAGUAGUAAUCAUUCCACUAACCAAAACCAUCCUACCAACUAACACUGGUCAGCAUACAAUAGGAUCAUACCCCUCGUACCCUAACAUAUGACUUAUACCCAUGAGUUAUAUUGGGUUCGGAGAAUGGAAAUUCCAUGAAAUUUUCUAAGGGUCAAAACCCAAAAUGUUUCAAAUACCAAAAUUUAACAUCAGCCAUAUUGCUUGAGAAAUCAAUAAGGUAGCAAUAUUAGAAUUUAACAUUGACCAUAUUGCUUGAGAAAUCAAUAAGGUAGAAAUACCAAAAUUGAACAUUGGCCAUAUUGCUACUGAAAUCUUUUCACUUUUUAGUUCUUAAUAAAUAUUCAUAUUUCACUUUUCAACUUGUGUGAAGGUAUAUCCAAGUCUUCUUUACUCAAGGCAUUUUUUAAACACAUUAUCAUUUGGAAUAUCUUUCUUUUAUCUAUAUUUUGGGUCUUUCACGGGCAUUACUUCAACAAUUCAUUAUGUUCAUCAACAAGUUCUUCAUGGUAUUAAUUUAAGAAAUUAUCAUUAUCAAACAACCCUCUCAUAGACACAAUUCAAUAAAUCUGCAUCAUCAUAAAUUUAGCCUCUUAUGGGCAUACAGUAGAUAAAGUAUGUAUAUCAAUACCAAAUCAAGAAUAUCAUAAAAUCAAUCACAAUUCAACACUUAAGCAUACAAGUCCAUUCAACACUUAAGCAUACACGUCACAAUUGGAGCCUUCAUUACUCAUUAAUUAUUAAAAUACUACUACCUUCUAAAAUACCAAAACUCGAGUUCUAACAUCACCACCUAUAACUAGCACAUUCAAGCAUAUCAUUAUCCUCUACCUCUUUUCACUUGAUAAAAUUCUCACAAUGAUUCAAGUCAUCUAUCCCUUAGAUAUAACUAUGCUUAUCAAUAUUUGACCCUAGCAUAAUUCUCCUCAUCACAUUAUUACACGAUACAUAUAACUUAAUCCUUUGUAACUCAACUAGAUUCAUCACUAAAAUAGCUUAAUAACAUCAUGCUUGUGCACUUUAUCCACAAAUAAUUUCAUUUCGAGUACACAAUACACAGUACCAUGGAAGUAACACAUUAGCAAUCAAGAAGAUAGUUUUUUGGAAUUAAAGUAAGUGUAUAUAUUUUUAUCCAAAACUUGAGUUUUAACAUAACCACCUAUAACUAGCAUAUUCAAGCAUAUCAUUAUCCUCUACCUCUUUUCACUUGAUAAAAUUCUCACAAUGAUUCAAGUUAUCUAUCCCUUAGAUAUAACUAUGCUUAUCAAUAUUUGACCCUAGCAUAAUUCUCCUCAUCACAUUAUUACACGAUACAUAUAACUUAAUCCUUUGUAGCUCAACUAGAUUCAUCACUAAAAUAGCUCAAUAACAUCAUGCUUGUGCACUUUAUCCACAAAUAAUUUCAUUUCGAGUACACAAUACACAGUACCAUGGAAGUAACACAUUAGCAAUCAAGAAGAUAGUUUUUUGGAAUUAAAGUAAGUGUAUAUAUUUUUAUCCAAAACUUGAGUUUUAACAUAACCACCUAUAACUAGCACAUUCAAGCAUAUAAUUAUCCUCUACCUAUUUCCACAUGAUAAAAUUCUCACAAUGAUUCAAGUCAUCUAUCCCUUAGAUAUAACUAUGCUUAUCAAUAUUCGCCCCUAGCAUAAUUCUCCUCAUCACAUUAUUGCACAAUACUUAUAACUUAAUCCUUUGUAACUCAACUAGAUUCAUCACUAAAACAGCUCAAUGACAUCAUGCUUGUGCACUUUAUCCACAAAUAAUUCCAUUCUAAGUACAUAAUACAUAGUACCAUGGAAGUACCACAUAAGCAAUCAAGAAGAUAGUUUUUUGGGAUUACAGUAAGUUUAUAUAUUUUUAUCCACCUUAACUUUGUGCCCGCAGGCCUAGACAUGCUUUCUCCCAUCAAUUGUAUGUUAUGAAAAUGUGACGUAAUACAGUCUUCUACUCAUUAAACCUAGCCUACCUAGACGCCAAGCUUUUGGAAGAAGCAAGUUGCAACAAGGAUGCGCUUUCCUUUCCUUCAUGCCUUGAAAUAAUCAAUUGUCUAAAAAUCAAGCAAUAAUAAGAGUAAUCAAAUAAUUAUUCGUCAAACAAAUAUCUUGGGGAUUUAAACCCACCAAUUCUACCCUUAAUUCAAGAUCUAUAUUAUUCUCCAAGGUAAAUUAGCCAUUAACUAGUUCUUUUAAGUUUAACCCAUCUCUAUUUAUGGAGUUUUUAUGCUAAAUGUCUCAUCUUUAUAGAAUUCAAGGUUUCUAACCAUCAAGGAAUCUUAAAUUUAUAAUCUAGAAUCAGCUUUAGGUGAUAUUAAGAAGACCCAUAGUUUCUCCAAAAAAUUUAUCGUUAAAGGUCUUUUUAAGGAUUCUAAGAUGUUAAUGGAUUAAAAGACGAUGAAGAUAAUAGAAAAACUUACCUCAGCGAAGGAAUUUCACCCUAAACUUUGGAAAUCACCUCUCUAGAGUUGAGGAAUAAAUUUUGGGGUUUCUGGACUUGAAACAUCGCUAAAACUGAUUUAAAUACCAUCAGAAUUAUUGCUACAACCAAAUUCUCAUUUCAGCCUAGACAAUACUCAGAAAAGCGGUCAUAACUUUUUAUUUCGAACUUGGAUUUAUGAAUGGGUGGUUGCGUUAGAAACCUAUAUCGAAACUCUAUCGGAAAGAAAAUUUUUAACUAAACUUUGUGCUAGGAAUAUUGUACAAACUUAAUUCAUACCUAAGGAACUUUCAAAAUAAACUGUUGAUAUUAUUACUCAUGUAUAAUUAAAUUCAUCAGGCUUGAGUCUGUCUAGACACAUCGACAGAUUUAAAUCUUAGUAGAAAAGCUUGAGGUCGUACAAUAAACAAAAUGAUUACUAUUUUGGACUCAAGUUAAUAUUGAGAAAUGAAUAUUAAGAAUUUUCAUGAAUUUAUUACGGAUAAUUUAGUAACACAAAAUGGGUCGUUAUAAAAUACAGGGGUUCUCUUCAUUGUAAUUUAUUCUUCAAGAUGAUCUCUCAUUCCUCAAUUGAAUAAUAUAUAUUCUCUCUUCUCUCAAUUCUUCUUGUUCUUGCUUAUUUUAUGUGUAUUGUAUCUUCUCACACACUCAAUGCCCUCAAGCCUUAAUUUUUGACUAUCCACUCCCGACACCAAGGUCAACUAAAGCCUAAAGCAACUAAAGUCGCUGCUUUAGGCCCCAACAUUUCCUAAUAUGUGAUAUAUCUCCAUUUCUAAAUACUUAAUGUUUUUAAUUUGAGAAAAUUCUUUUUAAAAAAAUAGUUUUUUUAGAAAAUAAAAAGUGUUUUUAUUAACUUACCCCCUAAUUAAAUAUCAUAGAAGUAAUUCUUUAAUUGAAUAGAAUUUCAUUUAUUAUAACAAUGGUUAUUUUGAAAGAAUGCUCUAAUUCUUUGUUGAACUUUUAAAACACCACAUAUUUUGAAACAAAAUGAAGAGACUAAGGGUGUGUUUGGUAUGAUGAAAAAUGUUUUCAUGGAAAAUAAGUUGGUGUUUUACUUAUUUCUUAUGUUUGGUUGCUGAGUGGAAAAGAUUUUCCAAAAAUAUUUUAUGGUGUUUGGUUAGUGAAUAGAAAAUAUAUUUUUUCUACCUAAAUUUUAAAUUUACAUGAGUGUGUGGCCCUCUAAUUAAAAAUAUAAUAUAUUUUCUAAAAUAUAAUAUUUAACUACACAUUUUUAAACAUUCAGUCAGUUGGGGCUUUGAGCUGUAGGUGACAAAAGAGUUUGAAAAUGAGGUGUAGGUGACUCAAUUCUUAAUAAUUAAGUGGAUGUGACAAUUACUUUAUUAUGGAUUAAGAAAGUUGGAGAAAUUUCAAAAUAACCCACAAGUUUUUAAAUUUACACUUUAAUUCAAAUGUUAGUUGAUACAACAGGAAACAGAGGGAAAAAAGAUGCAUUUCUCUCUCUUCUUAUCUGUUGUUAUUUUCUCUCUCUCUUUGCGAUUUAUGUUGUUCAUUAUUGAUUCUUCUUUAUUCAUCAUAUUCUUCUUUAUUAUCAUCAUCUUAUACUUCAUUAUCCUCUUUAUAAUCUUCUUAUUGAUCAUUGUUGUUGUUGUUGUUACCGUAAUUACUGCCCUUUGACCACUUUCUUAGGUCAAAUUUUGUUUCGUACAUCACUUUCAACUUUGGCAUUUACUUGAUAGGAGACUUUGGCAAGUCAAAUUAUGCUUUUUAGUUGAAUUUGUCAUCUGGGUAACUGCUUGUGUGCUAUUGUUUCAAUAAUAGCUAGCACACAAACAUUAAUGCAACAUAAGAGCCAUCUAUUUAAACAGAUCCAUUAUCUGUUGCGCCAGAUAGAUAUUCUGUUGCAACAGGAGACUCAUAUGUUGGAUUCAUGUUUAUGGUUCUAUAGUGCCCGUAACAUGAGUCGAACAGAUGGGUAUUCUGUUGUGACAGAUUAGUAGUCUGUUCCAACAGAUAAUUAAUCUAUUACACUAGAUUAGUAAUCUAUUCUAAUAUAAAGUAAUCUAUUGCAACAAAAUAUAUAUCUAUUGCAACAAAUUAUAAUUCUAUUGUAGCAGAUGAAUAAUUUAUUCCAAUUAACACAAUACAGCUCCUGUCACAAACCCAACAGAUAACUCGUAUAUUGAUAUCUUGCUAUUGAUAUUGGAUUCAAAUUAUUCCUUAAUCGUAGAAAUGUUUGUUGAGAAAAAAAAUAGAUAGAAUGAAACUUAAAUGAGAAUUAAAAUGUCAGAAUGGAUCAAACAUAAAUUUUUUAUUAAACAAAAAAAUAAAAAUACAUAGGUAAUAGAUGAUGGAUCUAUUGCAACAGAAGACUCAUAUGUUGGAUUCAUGUUUAAGGUUCUAUAGUGCCCAUAACAUGAAUUGAACAGAUGGGUAUUCUGUUGCGACAGAUUAGUAAUCUGUUCCAACAGACUAUUAAUCUAUUGCACCAGAUUAGUAAUCUGUUCCAACACAAAGUAAUCUGUUGCAACAGAUUAUAAUUCUGUUGCAGCAGAUGGAUAAUCUGUUUUGAAUAAUACAAUACAACUCCAAUUACAAACCUAACAGAUAACCCGUAUAUUGAUCUCUUGCUAUUGAUACUGGAUUCAAAUUAUUCCUUAAUCGUAAACAUGUUUGUUAAGAAGAAAAAUAGACAGAAUGAAAAUUAAAUGAGAAUUAAAACGUCAAAGUAGAUCAAACAUAAAUUUUUUAUUAAAAAUAAAAAUAAAAAUACAUAGGUAAAAGAAAAAAAUAAUCUAAUUAUUAUUAUUAUUAUUAUUGCCAGUCGACCAAUAUUCAAUCGGCAGCAGCAACACCCUCCUCAUCCUGCGGAUCUCCCGCAGCAUCUUUACUCUGAUGUUGGCCAACUCCCACUAUAGGUCAUGAACCUGUGUCUAUAGUUUCCGCACGACUUCUCGUAAAAUAGCGAUAUCCCACACUAGAUCAGCCAUAUCUAGAACACACAUAAAUUGACAAAAACUGCAAAAAUAAAAGUAAAAAAUAGAAGAAUCUGAAAGUAAUACAACGUAUAUUUACACAAAAAAUAGGAAAAAAACUUACCAGAGAUAGGGAAAAGCUAUCAAGUCCUUAAAGAGAAAGUAGUUGAAGGUGAAAUAUAAAAGACAAGAGCAAGAAAUAAAUGGAGUGUAGUAGAAUGAACGAGUAAGGAGAGACCUAUUUAUAGAGAAUUGAAUUUGAAUGAGUUAGGCAAAAAGACGUGACUGUUCACCUCCAUUUAUUAAGUACAUCAAAACUGGCUACUUUUUGAUUACUGUAGAAAGUUAUGACUUAAUUAGUUCUUUUCAGUAACCAUUUUAUUGAGUUGUGGUAACAGAUUAUCUAUCUGUUGCAUCAGAUAACCCAUCUGUGGCAACAGAUAUACCAUUUAUUGCAAUAAAUUGACAAUCUAUUGCAUCAGAUAAUAUAUCUGUUGCAACAUAUAUCAUUUUUAGUAAUCAUCAUAUUUUUAUCUUUAAUCCAAAUUUGGUGACUUUUUUAUUAUGUAAAUUAAGAAAAUAGAUUAAAAAAUAAAAAUGUCGAAAAGUCACUACUUGUCGCCUAUUUAAACAUCAAUUAUUCAAAUUUAUGUUUAGUUAAGUUAUGAAUUAAUUAGUUCUUUUCAGUAACCAUUUUAUUGAGUUAUGCAACAGAUUAUAUAUAUCUUGCAUCAGAUAACCCAUCUGUGACAACAGGUAUACCAUUUAUUGCAACAAAUGGACAAUCUGUUACAUCAGAUAAUAUAUCAGUUGCAACAUAUAUCCUUUUUAAUAAUCAUCAUAUCUGUAUCUUUUAAUCCAAAUUUGGUGACUUUUUUAUUAUAUAAAUUAAAAAUAUAAAUUUAAAAAUAAAAAUGUCGAAAAGUACUACUUGUCGCCUAUUCCCUUCGUUUCGUAUUAGAAAGUUGGCACACCCAUUAAGAAAAAUAUUUAUUAGGGAUCUAUUUUACCAAAUUAUCUUUAUUAAUUAUGCUUUGAAAAUAUAUAAAUUUGAAUAUAUAAAUCAACAAUCUGUUGCAUCAAAAAGGCACGUCUGUUCACGUCCAUUUAUUAAUUACAUUCAAGCUGGUGACUUUUUGAUUACUGAGAAAAGUUAUGACUUAAUUAAGUCAAGCUGCUGACUGACUUUGGUUAUUGUAAUAAGUCUUAUUAUUGUUAAUUAGUUUUUUUCAGUAACCAUUUUUAUUGAGUUGUGGCAAUAGAUUAUAUAUCUGUUGCAUCAAAUAACCCAUCUGUGACAACAGAUAAUCUAUUUGUUGCAACAAAUCGACAAUUUGUUGCAUCAAAUAAUCUAUUUGUUGCACAUAUAAGCUAUCUUUUUUAAUAAUCAUCAUAUCUUUAAUUCAAAUUUGGUGACUUUUUAUUAUAUAAAUUUUAAAAAUAAAUUAAAAAAAAAUAUGUCGAAAAGUCACGAUCAGUUAUUAAAAUUAAAUAACCGUUCUUUUUAUGAUUAUAAAUUGUGUUUGUCAUUUAGUUUCUUAUUUUACAAAUCAUUUUUCAUAUGAAAUAAUUGAAAAGUCAUGACAAGACUUUUCACCCUCUCAAUAAUAAUAAUAACCUUUUUUUAAUUAAUAAUCGCAUGUUGCAACAUAUGGUCCAUCUGUCGUAACAGAUUAACCAUCUGUUGCAACAUAUGGUUCAUCCGUUUCCACAAACACUCAAUCCCUUCCUCCAAUCAUCGACUUGUUGAGAAUAAGGAAUAAACAAAACAAAAAUUAAAUAUUAAAUAAGAAUUAAAAAUCUAAAGUUGACCAAGAUUUUUGAAUCUCUUAGGUAGAUUCGAUAUAAAAAAGGAAAAUACAUACGCUAAAAGGAAAAACUAACCUAUUUAUUAUUACUGCUAUUAUUAUUAUCAUUAUUAUUAUUAUAAGUAUUACUAUUACUACUGUCAUUGUCUGAAGGCCAAUUUUCAUCCGGCAGCAGCAGGAUCCUCCUCAGCUUUGCUCUGAAGUCGGCUAAAUCCCUCUAAAGUUCAUUAUACUACAUUCAAAGUUCCCAUAAGGACUCGAUAUAAGUCUUCUUGUAUGAAUCUGGAUCAGCCAUAUCUAAAAGUGUAGUAGUAGAAUGAACAAGUAAGGAGGGACCUAUUUAUAAAGAAAGGGAUUAGUCAAAAAGCCAUGACUGUUCAUCCAUCCCUUAGUUAAAUAAAACUGACAACUUUUCAAAUAUGUAAAUUAAAAGAACGGAUCUAAAUAAAUAUUUUAUCUUUAUUGUAUUUCAAAAAAAAUAAUUUUUUUUUAAAAUAAAUCAAACAGUUGGGUAAUCUAUUGCAAAAUACAUUCUAUUUGUUAGAUAAUUUAUAAAAUAUUAAAAAUGUUGCAACAAAUGCAUAUAUCUAUUUAAUUUUUCAAAUAGAUAAGUCAUAUAUUGCAAAAGAUUGAUCAUAUGUCGUAACAAAUGUCUAUAAUUAUUUGAUAAUUUUAACAGGUUAGUGAUCGGGAGUUAAGCCAUAGAUGGGCUAGGAGGAAUAAGGUGCGUGUAGAUGGAUGGAUCCACUUUUAUGUGUGGGAGUUAUGUGUUACUGAUAAGGUUACCAGGACAACCACACAAAGUACAAUGUUUUUGUGAAUGCAGUUUUAAUUCAAUAGGCACUGAUCAUUCAAACGAGAUCCUGCAUUGUACAAUUAAGUUUGAUGGGUUCGAAUUGAUAAGGUUGAGGGCCCC
rnacentral:lncRNA from 1 species